UGGGCUCUAUGCUGAUAGCAGAGAACCUGAUGUGGGGCUGGAACUCACAAACCACAAGACCAAGACAUGAGCUGAAGUCAGAAGCUUAACCAACUGAGCCAUCUAGGUGCCCCAAAAGUUGCUCAGUUUAAACCUACCCUCCAAAGUCCUCGAUGUAUCUUGACUCUGGAUUCCUGAUCACAGUUUUUUGACCCACCUCCUAAUCCCUGAAUGUGGACCCUGAUUUUUGGAUCAGAACACAUCUGGGAAGAAUUCAGUAAUCUUCGGGCUGACUCUCCACCCCUAGGAGAGGCCUCAUGAUCUUAACCCAGCUUCCUGAUAUCACUGCCUGGCUAGAUCUGAGUAUUGGCCUUGUUGGUUCAGAGUAACUCCACCUGUGUUCCCAGGUCAAAGUGUUUUUACUCAAGGAGAUAGGGAGCCUGAAUUGGUAAUGGAUGCAAUACCAAGCAUCCUGUCUGGUAUAGCCUGAAGACCAUCAGUUUCUGGGUUCUGACUCACAAGCCAAAGUCUGGUUCAAUUCUUUUAUUUUGUUAAUUCUGUGCCCAUUGGCUUCAGUCCUUCCUGUCUGAUUCUUGACUGCAAUGUUAGUUUGGUUGUAAACAUUCUUGGACUUGCAAUCAACUCAUUUCCUCACAUCUGCUUUCCAGAAAUGGCAGUAGCAAAAUGGUAUCAUAAGAAAAUUGACACUGAAGCAAUUUAAGACACUCCAUAUCCCCAACAGGAGGAGGAGAAGAAGGAGGAGGAGAGGAAGAAGAAGGAAAGGAAGAAGAAGAUGAGGAAGAAGAAGGAGAAGAGGAAGAGUUUAACAUUCCCUGACUCUGGUUCUGGAGCCUGAGAAGUCCAAGAUCAAGGUGCUGGAAGAUUCAGCAUGUGGCACUUUCCAAACUCUGAUGCAAGGAGGAUAAAUCCAAGCAGAAGACACAGGAUUCUUUGAAUUCGGGAGAAAGAUCAGAGUUUAAGGAGACGGCGACAAAUGGAAAAGGUAUGUAUCUAUAUAUAUCUAAGAUUUUUGCUUCUCUUAAUGAUUGGGGAACAGGAUUUAAUUUAUAUGGUGUCCUAAAUAACAAAAAAACUGAGCAAAGUAUAUGAAAAAAACUUUCAGAGUUUCACAGACAGAGAACUUGUGAGAUCUGCAGAGAGGUCUUUUCAAGUGUUGGACUGAGUACUGAUAGCACAUGUGCGGGAUGAACACAAUGCUGGGGAAAGAAACACUGGAAAGCAAACAACUAUCAGAGCUCACACAGGGCUGAGAAUGCUUUUGCUUCCAUAGGCAAAGUGUCUCAGUAAACAUGGAAAAUUAGGUAGUUUUUGUUUGUUUGUUUGUUUUUUAGUAAUGGAGCUAAAUUAGCCCUACAGCUACUUUGGACUGACUCAAACUAACUUGAAAGUAAAACUGUAAACAUUAAACUGAUUGCCACUAAACUAAAUACAUCCAGAACAUUUCCCAACACUCUUUCAAAAAAAGCAAUUGUUAACAAUGUACAAUUAACCAUGUUUAGCAUCUACAAAAUGCUAUCAGUCAUGCAAAAAGUAAGAAACUAUGACCCACAAGAAGGAGAAACACCAAUCAAUGACAGAAAUAUUACAAUUAGCAGGAAAAGAUAUUAAAACAGCUAUUUUAAUGUGCUCCAUAUACUCAAAAAUGUAGUGAAAAGAUAAUAGGAGAAAAACAGAAGAUAUGAAAAAGAUCUGAUAGAAUUUCUAAAGAUGAAAAAUACAUUUUAGGUGAAAUAUAUGUACAAAUUUUGCUGGAUUCAUAAAAUGAAAUCGUAUUCAACAAUAAAAAAGAAUGUAUUACCUAUAUUCUCAGCAUCAAUGAAAUUAAAAACAUGUUCAUCAAAAGAAGCACACACCAAAGUGAGCACACUGUAUGACCUAAUUGAUAUGAAACACUAGAAGUACAAAACGAAUCUAUCCUAACACAAGGCAGAUUAUUUAUUUCCUGAUUUUAGAGAUUGGGGUAAAAUGACUGCAAAGGUAUAAAUACAAUUUUUUUUUUUUUUUUUUUUUUGGUGAUGGAAAUGACGCAUGUCUUGACUGGGAUGGUAGUUUCAAGGCUACAUGCAUUUGCCAGAACUCACUGCACUGUACUUAAAGUGGGUUUACUCUGUGGUGCACAAUUUUUAAAAAAUGUCUGUUUAUUUUGAGAAAGAAAGAGAGCAUGUGCAAAUGAGCAGGGGAGGGGCAGAGAGGAGAGGGAGAGAGAAUCCCAAGCAG